UACGUAGGGUCCAAGCGUUAUCCGGAAUUACUGGGCGUAAAGCGUCUGUAGGCGGCUUUUCAAGUCGGGUGCGAAAUCUUGUGGCUCAACCAUAUAGAUGUUGCCCGAAACUGUAGAGCUAGAGGUAGGUAGAGCAAGUGGAACUUGCGGUGUAGGAGUGACAUCCGUAGAUAUCGCAAAGAACACCAAUGGCGAAGGCAGCUUGCUGGGCCUUACCUGACGCUCAGAGACGAAAGCGUGGGGAGCGAACGGG
rnacentral:rRNA from 1 species